GAUGAACGCUGGCGGCGUGCCUAAUACAUGCAAGUCGAGCGAAGCGGGGACGGGUGAGUAACACGUGGAUAACCUCCCAUAAGACUGGGAUAACCUCGGGAAACCGGAGCCAAACCCGAUACUUAUAGAUGGAUCCGCGCUGCAUUAGCUAGUUGGUAAGGUAACGGCUUACCAAGGCAACGAUGCAUAGCAGACCUGAGAGGGUGCUCGGCCACCCUGGACCUGAGACACUGUCGAGACUCCUACGGGAGGAUGCAGUAGGGAAUAUUCGGCAAUGGGCGAAAGCCUGACGGAGCAACGCCGCGGGAGUGAUGAAGGUCUUCGGAUCGUAAAACACUGUUAGUAGGGAAGCGGUACCUGAUCAGAAAGCCACGGCGAACAACGUGCCAGCAGCCGCGGUAAUAC
rnacentral:rRNA from 1 species